GCACUUUAUUGUGGGACCACAUGUUAUCAUGAAUGAAAAGUUUUAUUGAGUAAUGCAAUUGCUUAAGGAAUAACACGUGAUGUGCAGUUAGCCAAUCAGAAUAAAGUAUUAUAAUGAAAUAAUUACAUUAGAUGUAUGUCUCACUACAAUACGUUAUUCUGAUUGGCUAACUACACAUCACGUGUUAUUCCUUAAGCAAUUGCAUUACUCAAUAAAACUUUUCAUUCAUGAUAACACGAGGUCCCACAAUAAAGUGCACAAGUAAAUUAAAUAACAAAUUGAUAAAAUUCGUGUUUUCAUGAUCCUAGCUCAAAAAUGUAAUUAUAAGUAUUGAAUGAUUCUUUUUGUAACUUCAUAGGGUUGUAAAAGCGUUGAACGUGCGCACAUUUUUAGAAUG
rnacentral:lncRNA from 1 species